UACGUAGGGUGCGAGCGUUGUCCGGAAUUACUGGGCGUAAAGAGCUCGUAGGUGGUUUGUCGCGUUGUUCGUGAAAACCGGGGGCUUAACCUUCGGCGUGCGGGCGAUACGGGCAGACUGGAGUACUGCAGGGGAGACUGGAAUUCCUGGUGUAGCGGUGGAAUGCGCAGAUAUCAGGAGGAACACCGGUGGCGAAGGCGGGUCUCUGGGCAGUAACUGACGCUGGAGGAGCGAAAGCGUGGGGAGCGAACAGG
rnacentral:rRNA from 1 species